rnacentral:rRNA from 1 species
AACGAACGCUGGCGGCAGGCCUAACACAUGCAAGUCGAGCGAGGACUUCGGUUCUAGCGGCGGACGGGUGAGUAACGCGUGGGAAUGUGCCCUUCUCUACGGAAUAGCCCUGGGAAACUGGGAGUAAUGCCGUAUACGCCCUAUUGGGGAAAGAUUUAUCGGAGAAGGAUCAGCCCGCGUUGGAUUAGGUAGUUGGUGGGGUAAUGGCCUACCAAGCGGACGAUCCAUAGCUGGUUUGAGAGGCUGAUCAGCCACACUUGGACUGAGACACGGCCCAGACUCCUACGGGAUGCAGCAGUGGGGAAUCGUAGACAAUCGCGGCAACCCUGAUCUAGCCAUGCCGCGUGAGUUAUGAAGGCCUUAGGGUUGUAAAGCGCUUUCAGCUGUGAAGAUAAUGACGGUACCAGCAGAAGAAGCCCCGGCUAACUCCGUG